rnacentral:rRNA from 1 species
GGGUUAGUAGGUUGGUCAUGCCUCUGGUAUGUACUGGUCUCACUGAUUCCUCCUUCCUGAUGAACCGUAAUGCCAUUAAUUUGGUGUUGCAGGGAAUCAGGACUGUUACUUUGAAAAAAUUAGAGUGUUUAAAGCAGGCUUUAGCUUGAAUACAUUAGCAUGAAAUAAUGAAAUAGGACGUUUGAUCCUAUUUUGUUGGUUUCUAGGAUUGACGUA